rnacentral:rRNA from 1 species
UCGAGAAUAGUCUACAAUGGUCGAAAGACUGAUAGUGCGACGCCGCGUGAACGAGGAAGCCCUUCGGGGUGUAAAGUUCUUUUAUAUGUGAGCAGUGCCAUUUAUGUGAACAGCAUGGGUGGAGAGAUAUUAGCAUAUGAAUAAGCAACGGCUAACUCCGUG